rnacentral:tRNA from 1 species
GCGGUCGUGGCGGAAUGGUAGACGCGCCAGCUUGAGGUGCUGGUGGGGGAAACCCCGUGGAAGUUCGAAUCUUCUCGACCGCA